rnacentral:tRNA from 1 species
CGAGGUGUGGCGCAGUCCGGUUAGCGCACCUGCUUUGGGAGCAGGGGGCCGGAGGUUCGAAUCCUCUCACCUCGA